GAUUAAGCCAUGCAUGUGUAAGUAUAAAUAGUUAACUUUGAAACUGCGAAUGGCUCAUUAUAUCAGUUAUAGUUUAUUUGAUGAAGAAUACUAAUUGGAUAACCGUAGUAAUUCUAGAGCUAAUACAUGUAUAAAGUCUUGUAGACUGCAUUUAUUAGAAUGAAAACCAUAGGUUUCGGCCUAUUCGUGAGUAAUAAUAACUAAUCAUAUCGUAUGCUUAUGUAACGAUGUGUCUUUCAAGUUUCUGCCCUAUCAGCUUUCGAUGGUAGUGUAUUGGACUACCAUGGCAGUA
rnacentral:rRNA from 1 species